rnacentral:miRNA from 1 species
GUUGCGAACUCCGGUCAGCUGACACAUCCCUGCCAAUCUCCGGCAGACCCUCCUACUUCCUGGACAGCAUCCGUGUUGAAGGCAGCUUCAACAUGGAUGCUGUCCAGGAGGUGGGAGGGUCUGCCGGAGAUUGGCAGGGAUGUGUCAGCUGACCGG